rnacentral:rRNA from 1 species
AGUGAACGCUGGCGGUAGGCCUAACACAUGCAAGUCGAACGGCAGCACAGUAAGAGCUUGCUCUUACGGGUGGCGAGUGGCGGACGGGUGAGGAAUACAUCGGAAUCUACUUUUUCGUGGGGGAUAACGUAGGGAAACUUACGCUAAUACCGCAUACGACGUACGGGUGAAAGCAGGGGAUCUUCGGACCUUACGCGAUUGAAUGAGCCGAUGUCGGAUUAGCUAGUUGGCGGGGUAAAGGCCCACCAAGGCGACGAUGCGUAGCGGGUCUGAGAGGAUGAUCACCCACACUGGAACUGAGACACGGUCCAGACUCCUACGGGAGGCAGCAGUGGAGAAUAUUGGACAAUGGGCGCAAGCCUGAUCCAGCCAUACCGCGUGGGUGAAGAAGGCCUUCGGGUUGUAAAGCCCUUUUGUUGGGAAAGAAAAGCAGCAGGUUAAUACCCCGCUGUUCUGACGGUACCCAAAGAAUAAGCACCGGCUAACUUCGUG